AUUGAACGCUGGCGGCAUGCCUUACACAUGCAAGUCGAACGGCAGCACGGGUGCUUGCACCUGGUGGCGAGUGGCGAACGGGUGAGUAAUACAUCGGAACAUGUCCUGUAGUGGGGGAUAGCCCGGCGAAAGCCGGAUUAAUACCGCAUACGAUCUACGGAUGAAAGCGGGGGACCUUCGGGCCUCGCGCUAUAGGGUUGGCCGAUAGCUGAUUAGCUAGUUGGUGGGGUAAAGGCCUACCAAGGCGACGAUCAGUAGCUGGUCUGAGAGGACGUCCAGCCACACUGGGACUGAGACACGGCCCAGACUCCUACGGGAGGCAGCAGUGGGGAAUUUUGGACAAUGGGCGAAAGCCUGAUCCAGCAAUGCCGCGUGUGUGAAGAAGGCCUUCGGGUUGUAAAGCACUUUUGUCCGGAAAGAAAUCCUUGGCUCUAAUACAGUCGGGGGAUGACGGUACCGGAAGAAUAAGCACCGGCUAACUACGUG
rnacentral:rRNA from 1 species